GGUCCCGUAGCGCAGAGGCAGUCGCGCCACCUUUGCAGGGUGGAACACGCCGGUUCGAAUCCGGCCGGGACCA
rnacentral:tRNA from 1 species